UACGUAGGGUGCAGGCGUUAUUCGGAAUUACUGGGCGUAAAGCGUGCGCAGGCGGUCUGCUAAGACAGGUGUGAAAUCCCCCGGCUUAACCUGGGAACUGCGUCUGAUACUGGAGGGCUUGAGUGCGGGAGAGGGAUGUGGAAUUCCAGGUGUAGCGGUGAAAUGCGUAGAUAUCUGGAGGAACACCGGUGGCGAAGGCGGCUUCCUGGACCGACACUGACGCUGAGACGCGAAAGCGUGGGGAGCAAACAGG
rnacentral:rRNA from 1 species